UCACCGGACUGCAAAAACAGUUGUCAGGUAUACAUACGUAGCUGUGGGUGCCCAUCUGGCGCUUUACACUGCAUGCAGCGCCAAGCCAAAUUUGCAGCGCCAAGACAGACUACGUCAGACUCAAAUCGAAGAUUCAGUUGAUUCCUACUGCAUGGCCAAGCAGAUGAAGGUCUGGUUCUGAGACACAGAUGGCAGACAUCACGGUCUGUGACACUGAUGAUCAUGAGGCUGCUGAUAGGGCAGGCCUGAUUUGAACUACAUCAAAAUCGAGCACGUAUAUGUCAGUUCUAACAAUAUUUUUUGAUUGGUGAAAAGAAGACAACUUCAAGAAGUGUAGAUAAAGAUAACUAUUCUUACACAAGCUGUUGGACUACAACAACGGUAACAUUUGACAGAUAGCUAACAAUUAUCGCCCGUAUAUAGAUGCAAUGAGAA